UUUGAUCUCAGACUGCUGUGCUAGCAAUCAGCGAGACUCCGUGGGCGUAGGACCCUCCAAGCCAGGUGUGAAAGAGCUUAUGAUCCUAAGCACUUCCAUAAUAGGGUCAGUAGAAUCAUGAUCGAUGAUCAUAAUGUCCCCACUCUACGGGAGAUGGUAGCAUUCUCCAAGGAAGUGUUGGAGUGGAUGGCUCAAGAUUCUGAAAACAUCGUAGUGAUUCACUGUAAAGGAGGCAAAGAAUAGAUAUGUUGGAUAUUUUGCACAAGUGAAACAUAGCUACAACUGGAAUCUCCCUCCAAGAAAAACACUGUUUAUAAAAAGAUUCGUUAUUUAUUCGAUUCAUGGUGUUGGAACAGGCGAUGGAUAUGAUCUAAAAGUCCAAAUAGUAAUGAAGAAAAAGAUUGUCUUUUCCUGUACUUCCUUAAAGAAUUGUCGGGUAUUUCAUGACACUGAAACAGACAGGGUAAUAACUGAUGUGUUCAACUGUCCACCUCUGUAUGAUGAUGUGAAAGUGCAAGCUUCCUCUUCA
rnacentral:lncRNA from 1 species